rnacentral:rRNA from 1 species
UGGGGAAUUUUUGACAAUGGGGGCAACCCUGAUCCAGCCAUCCCGCGUGUGCGAUGAAGGCCUUCGGGUUGUAAAGCACUUUUGGCAGGAAAGAAACGUCAUGGGUUAAUACCCCGUGAAACUGACGGUACCUGCAGAAUAAGCACCGGCUAACUACGUGCCAGCAGCCGCGGUAAUACGUAGGGUGCAAGCGUUAAUCGGAAUUACUGGGCGUAAAGCGUGCGCAGGCGGUUCGGAAAGAAAGAUGUGAAAUCCCAGAGCUCAACUUUGGAACUGCAUUUUUAACUACCGGGCUAGAGUGCGUCAGAGGGAGGUGGAAUUCCGCGUGUAGCAGUGAAAUGCGUAGAUAUGCGGAGGAACACCGAUGGCGAAGGCAGCCUCCUGGGAUAACACUGACGCUCAUGCACGAAAGCGUGGGGAGCAAACAGG